AGUUGUCCGUUUAUUUAGCAAAUAAAUAAACAACUUGUACUGCCAUGUAGCGAUUUCGAUAGACGACGCCUUCAAGGGAGGAGGAGUCUACAACAUAUUGAAUUUAUCGAUCGAUUGUUAGGCCGAUUUCGAUCAGCAUUGUAUAGUUAAUGAAUGACAACUUGACGAGAUCUUGACACGCACGUUGGAAGUGUACGCGUGUUUGCACCUCGAUGAGCGUUGCACAAUAACAAAGCUCCGUUGGUGAGCGUAUUGAUUAAUAAAGCUAGGUGAAGUCCUUGAGUGCCUCAAGGACUUUGUUUUGUUUUAGCAGUAUUUUUUCCUUCAACAAUUAAUCUUGCAUCUCCAACCAUGGAAUGAGUUACAUGUGACUCGAGACAAACAAACAGUGCAAUUGCAACAAUAUAAUUAGUCAGCGAUAUAAAUUUGCCAUAUCUUCAUGCCAACCACAAGGAUUCUGCUUUUGCACACACCUUCAUUAUUAAUGUGUUUCUUCAGGUAUGGUCACUAUCAGUAGCUUUACACACAGUGUGCAUCGUGAAUACAUCAAUCCCAGAGAAAACAUUCCAAUGGAAAAUAUUGAGAAUUUCUGCCCUUCUAUCCUGAACUAAACAAUGCUGGGAGAUUGGUUAUCUCUUCACAGAGAUGAGUCAUCCGCUCCUUGGACAACGCUGCGAUCGU